UUAGAGUUUGAUCCUGGCUCAGGAUGAACGCUGGCGGCGUGCCUAACACAUGCAAGUCGGCGAACCCUUCGGGGUGAGCGGCGGACGGGUGAGUAACGCGUGGGUAACCUGCCCUAUACCACGGAUAACGUACCGAAAGGUACGCUAAUACGAGAUAAUAUAUUUUUAUCGCAUGGUAGAAUAUCAAAGCUCCGGCGGUAUAGGAUGGACCCGCGUCUGAUUAGCUAGUUGGUAAGGUAUGGCUUACCAAGGCGACGAUCAGUAGCCGACCUGAGAGGGUGAUCGGCCACAUUGGAACUAGACACGGUCCAAACUCCUACGGGAGGCAGCAGUGGGGAAUAUUGCACAAUGGGCGAAAGCUGAUGCAGCAACGCCGCGUGAGCGAUGAAGGCCUUCGGGUCGUAAAGCUCUGUCCUCAAGAAGAUAAUGACGGUACUUGAGGAGGAAGCCCCGGCUAACUACGUGCCAGCAGCCGCGGUAUACGUAGGGGGCUAGCGUUAUCCGGAAUUACUGGGCGUAAAGGGUGCGUAGGUGGUUUCUAAGUCAGAGGUGAAAGGCUACGGCUCAACCGUAGUAAGCCUUUGAAACUGAGAAACUUGGUGCAGGAGAGGAGAGUAGAAUUCCUAGUGUAGCGGUGAAAUGCGUAGAUAUUAGGAGGAUACCAGUUGCGAAGGCGGCUCUCUGGACUGUAACUGACACUGAGGCACGAAAGCGUGGGGGCAAACAGGAUUAGAUACCCUGGUAGUCCACGCCGUAAACGAUGAGUACUA
rnacentral:rRNA from 1 species